CUCUCCGGGAAGACGGCAAGGAGAGACGACAUGUUUCGUUGUCCUGAUUUAUGUAAAAUAAAUCCGUAGUUUUAGUAUGUAUCUACAGCCUCAAGCCUCUUCUGUUGUGCAGUUUACUUUGCUAAGUAGGGUGCUCAAGUCAGCAAGCUUGAGUCACUGAUUUACAUCGGAGCCAGAGGUCAAUGAAUCUCCACGGCGAAUGUUGAGAGGGAGACGAUCCAGCUGGGGCCAACUCAGCUGGCCUAUCAACCGCCAGAUGCCGACAUCAAGGUUAUAUGCCCAGAUCUGAGGCUUUACACUGGAGUAGGACUGCUGCUCACUGCUGCAGUAUUCCAGGAAGGAAUGAGGUAUGUUGACCAUUCAGUAGAACCAGCUGUUUUUCAAAUUAAUAAAGGGGGGACAAGACACUGUCUGCUUUCAUAAGGUUUCCGAAUGGUUUCUUUCUUGACCUCCCCUGCAAAAUGAAUGAGCCAAGUGUAGUCAUGGCUAUGCUAUUCUGUCCGGCACCAAGGGAAAGAGAAAGGGGAAGGCAUUUGAUUUAUGCUCAACAAAGGAUUUAACAAUGUUUUUAUUAUGCUCUCUCCCCUAGGCUGAGGUUAAGUGGACUUUAUUUAAAUGAUCUUUGGACUGGACCAGGAGUAUGAAAGAGCAAUUAAGAGUAAGAAGUUGAACAGCUGCUAAUUAAAUUUGGCAACAGCUUGCAUUUGUGAAAAGGCUCUGCUUUUGUUUAACUUUGUGCUGCGGAAGAACCCCAGAGUGGAAUUUAAUGACAGAGAGUGGUCACCUCGUUGGGGAGUUAUUUAUAGCUGCAGCCUUCACACAAGCUGGUGAACAUGAUCUCAAAGGAAUUGAACGUGACUUUGCAAACAUCACAGAGAACUGAACAAAGAAGGAUGGCAAUUACCUAUCUCGACACACCAGGUCUGGGGAAACAUUUAUGAAGACUACACACGUGAAAUGGAUUUUAUAUUUUUGAAAAGUAACAGAGGUACUGAGUAAGGGAAUUAGAAAGGUCAGUUGUGAGAAUGGGCUAACAUCAAGAGCAGGAUGAAGAGGAGAUUAAAGAAGAAUGAAGUAAUGGGUAUAUGUUUGCAACAGGAGCGGGAAACCUAUUUUUUUAAAAUAAAUUGUAUUAAAUUUAAAUAAUUG